rnacentral:rRNA from 1 species
CCACCACUAAGCCAGUGGUGAACUCCACAUACGCAUCCUUUGCUGAGGAUACGGUUAACGGAGCGAAAGCGACGUUCAACCUCAAAAGAAGCAGAGGGGGCUUAGUGGUGGGGUGACUGCGUACCUUUUGUAUAAUGGGUCAGCGACUUAUAUUCUGUAGCAAGGUUAACCGAAUAGGGGAGCCGGAGGGAAACCGAGUCUUAAUUGGGCGUUAAGUUGCAGGGUAUAGACCCGAAACCCGGUGAUCUAGCCAUGGGCAGGUUGAAGGUUGGGUAACACUAACUGGAGGACCGAACCGACUAAUGUUGAAAAAUUAGCGGAUGACCUGUGGCUGGGGGUGAAAGGCCAAUCAAACCGGGAGAUAGCUGGUUCUCCCCGAAAGCUAUUUAGGUAGCGCCUCGUGAAUUCAUCUCCGGGGGUAGAGCACUGUUUCGGCUAGGGGGUCAUCCCGACUUACCAACCCGAUGCAAACUGCGAAUACCGGAGAAUGUUAUCACGGGAGACACACGGCGGGUGCUAACGUCCGUCGUGAAGAGGGAAACAACCCAGACCGCCAGCUAAGGUCCCAAAGUCAUGGUUAAGUGGGAAACGAUGUGGGAAGGCCCAGACAGCCAGGAUGUUGGCUUAGAAGCAGCCAUCAUUUAAAGAAAGCGUAAUAGCUCACUGGUCGAGUCGGCCUGCGCGGAAGAUGUAACGGGGCUAAACCAUGCACCGAAGCUGCGGCAGCGACACUGUGUGUUGUUGGGUAGGGGAGCGUUCUGUAAGCCGUUGAAGGUGUGUCGUGAGGCAUGCUGGAGGUAUCAGAAGUGCGAAUGCUGACAUAAGUAACGAUAAUGCGGGUGAAAAACCCGCACGCCGGAAGACCAAGGGUUCCUGUCCAACGUUAAUCGGGGCAGGGUGAGUCGACCCCUAAGGCGAGGCCGAAAGGCGUAGUCGAUGGGAAACGGGUUAAUAUUCCCGUACUUGGUGUUACUGCGAAGGGGGGACGGAGAAGGCUAUGUUGGCCGGGCGACGGUUGUCCCGGUUUAAGCGUGUAGGUGUGUGUUCCAGGUAAAUCCGGUUCACUUUAACACUGAGGCGUGAUGACGAGGCACUACGGU